rnacentral:rRNA from 1 species
CUGCUCCUACGGGACGCAGCAGUGAGGAAUAUUGGUCAAUGGGCUUACGCCUGAACCAGCCAAGUAGCGUGAAGGAUGACUGCCCUAUGGGUUGUAAACUUCUUUUAUAUGGGAAUAAAGUGCAGUAUGUAUACUGCUUUGCAUGUACCUUAUGAAUAAGGAUCGGCUAACUCCGUGCCAGCAGCCGCGGUAAUACGGAGGAUCCGAGCGUUAUCCGGAUUUAUUGGGUUUAAAGGGAGCGUAGGCGGGUUGUUAAGUCAGUUGUGAAAGUUUGCGGCUCAACCGUAAAAUUGCAGUUGAUACUG